CCUACGGGAGGCAGCAGUGGGGAAUCUUGGACAAUGGGGGCAACCGUGAUCCAGCCAUACCGCGUGUGUGAAGAAGGCCUUCGGGUUGUAAAGCACUUUCAGUAGGGAGGAAGGCUUAUCCUUAAUACGGAUGAGUACUUGACGUUACCUMCAGAAGAAGCACCGGCUAAUUUCGUGCCAGCAGCCGCGGUAAUACGAAAGGUGCGAGCGUUAAUCGGAAUUACUGGGCGUAAAGCGCGCGUAGGCGGUUUGNUAAGUCAGAUGUGAAAGCCCCGGGCUCAACCUGGGAAAUGCAUUUGAAACUGGCAGGCUAGAAUGCANUAGAGGGAGGUGGAAUUUCCGGUGUAGCGGUGAAAUGUGUAGAGAUCUGAAGGAACACCNGUGGNGAAGGCGGCCUCCUGGACNGACAUUGACGCUGAGGUGCGAAAGCGUGGGGAGCAAACANGAUUAGAUACCCNGGUAGUCCACGCCSUAAACGAUGUNUACUAGUCGUUGGGAAUCUUAGUAUUCUCGGUGACGNAGUUAACGCGAUAAG
rnacentral:rRNA from 1 species